CCUACGGGCGGCAGCAGUGAGGAAUAUUGGUCAAUGGGCGCGAGCCUGAACCAGCCAAGUAGCGUGAAGGAUGACUGCCCUACGGGUUGUAAACUUCUUUUAUAAAGGAAUAAAGUGCGGCACGUGUGCCUUUUUGUAUGUACUUUAUGCAUAAGGAUCGGCUAACUCCGUGCCAGCAGCCGCGGUAAUACGGAGGAUCCGAGCGUUAUCCGGAUUUAUUGGGUGUAACGGGAGCGUAGAUGGGUUGUUAAGUCAGUUGUGAAAGUUUGCGGCUCAACCGUAAAAUUGCAAUUGAGACUGGCAGCCUUGAGUACAGUUGAGGUAGGCGGAAUUCGUGGUGUAGCGGUGAAAUGCGUAGAUAUCACGAAGAACUCCGAUUGCGAAGGCAGCUUACUAAACUGCAACUGACAUUGAUGCUCGAAAGUGUGGGUAUCAAACAGGAUUAGAUACCCCAGUAGUC
rnacentral:rRNA from 1 species